rnacentral:rRNA from 1 species
CGCAAUGGGCGCAAGCCUGACGGAGCAACGCCGCGUGAGGGAUGAAGGCCUCUGGGCUGUAAACCUCUUUUCUCAAGGAAGAAGAACUGACGGUACUUGAGGAAUAAGCCACGGCUAAUUCCGUGCCAGCAGCCGCGGUAAUACGGGAGUGGCAAGCGUUAUCCGGAAUUAUUGGGCGUAAAGCGUCCGCAGGCGGCCUUGAAAGUCUGUCGUUAAAGCGUGGAGCUUAACUCCAUUUCGGCGGUGGAAACUACAAGGCUUGAGUGUGGUAGGGGCAGAGGGAAUUCCCGGUGUAGCGGUGAAAUGCGUAGAUAUCGGGAAGAACACCAGUGGCGAAGGCGCUCUGCUGGGCCAUAACUGACGCUCAUGGACGAAAGCUAGGGGAGCGAAAGGGAUUAGAUACCCCUGUAGUCCUAGCCGUAAACGAUGAACACUAGGUGUCGGGGGAAUCGACCCCCUCGGUGUCGUAGCUAACGCGUUAAGUGUUCCGCCUGGGGAGUACGCACGCAAGUGUGAAACUCAAAGGAAUUGACGGGGGCCCGCACAAGCGGUGGAGUAUGUGGUUUAAUUCGAUGCAACGCGAAGAACCUUACCAGGGUUUGACAUCCUGCGAAUCCCUUGGAAACUUGGGAGUGCCUUCGGGAGCGCAGAGACAGGUGGUGCAUGGCG